CCCAAGGCUGUGCCAGAAACAAAGUGUAAAAUAGAACCUGAGCUUCCGACUCCUGGUCUUAAAUGUGGGAAAUAGUCUAUAGUUUGGAAGACACAAGAGAAAAAUGCUCCACAGCUCGCCCUGGUGACUCACUACAACUUAUGGAAAGAUGCUUUUCUCCAGUGUGACCUUGUGCAAAUCAUUUUCCUUUCACGGCCUCAACGUCAUUUGAAAAAUAACAGACUGCACUAGAUGACUUAGUCUUGGCAACACAGAGGCCACUGGACAGAGGCAUAACCUUGCGUGGCAGCUGCACAGGAAUUGGAUUUGGCUCAGGUGUUUCAGAUGACUAAGAAAACCAAAAGAGCCUGCCUUACUAUGCACCUAUGGCCCUUCAAAGGGUGCCUAGAGACUUCACCUCUAUUUCCAUGAGGGACUGAACAGCCUCUUGAGAAGGGACUCAUCAAAAUGGAAGAGUUGGCAAUAAGAAGUUUGGCUAAAUAACCAAGCACUGAAGUUGCAGACGAGAAAGGAUUUGAAAGGCAGUACAGCGUCCAGGGGCAAGCUGGCAAUUUUUAGCAGGAGGUGAAGUGAUGCCAGCAGAGGUAACAGUGCUCAGAGGGACCAGUAGUCCCCAGGAGGAGCAGGGGAAUCCCCAGUGGAUCUGAUCUGUUCAAGAGCACAUGUGAGAUUAUCAGCUGGUGUUACAAUUUUGGAGUGGUAGUGAGAAGCACUGAAUUUGAGGUCACUCCAUUUGCAGACCCCAAAGGGUGAAAUGUUGAGAAACAUGAGUUACACAUGUAUUUAACAACUCUUGUGUAUUAUCACAAAUCCUAUUUCACCUCUCAUGCCCCCAAGGCUUUGUGUCCAGUUCCCUGAAGACUUCAUCAAUCCUCAGCCACAAAUCACCUGAGAGCAACUCACCUUGCUUCAUACUAUGAAGCUCCCUGAUGUCACAGCAUGGCAGGCCUGUGGCAACCCCUCAACACUUAUGCAUGAUCCCCAACAGCUAGAGGAUUAACACCUAUGGUGUAACCCUUGACCAGUGGGAAAUGGAAAUUAAUUACUGUCUUUUUGUACCCCAGGUGAACGGUUCUAAAAUGCAUUUUAUAUCCAGUGGUGACCAACUCAAUGAUGCAUCCUUGGGUUGACUCUCCCUCCUUUCCAGUUCACUUUCCCCGCCCCUCACUCCUGCACCUCAGCAUCACAUUCUUGAAUAAUCCACUCACACAUCUGUCUUAUUUCAGACACUGUUUGGGGGAAUCAACAAUAAAAAUUUGUCAUUUUGAGUUAAACAUUGUUCUCACCUUGAAGACAUAUUUCCAUACCUAGAGAUUUCUGAAGUUCUCUCCCUUUUCCUAUCAUCUCCUUUGUGCUUUGUCUGACCUCCAUAUUACAGAGCCCCAUGACAUUUAGAGCCAGUACUGCUAGGGAAGUAGUUCAGUUGUGUUUUAAAUGGUUCAGCAACUUGUAACAUCAAUUGAGAACCAGGGGAUACACUUGGAGGCCAAGAAAAAAAUGUUAGCUAAUAUGUACCAUACGGUAUGAUUCCUUGGGUAAGGGAAAGUAUAUGCAAGUAACAGAGGAAAAUUGAAAGUUGUAGCCCUUUUUUCGGAUUUUAGAUUUGGAAUUAAAGUUUCUCUU